rnacentral:rRNA from 1 species
AACGUUCGGAAACGGACGCUAAUACCGCAUACGUCCCACGGGAGAAAGCGGGGGAUCUUCGGACCUCGCGCCAUUAGAUGAGCCUAGGUCGGAUUAGCUAGUUGGUGAGGUAAUGGCUCACCAAGGCGACGAUCCGUAACUGGUCUGAGAGGAUGAUCAGUCACACUGGAACUGAGACACGGUCCAGACUCCUACGGGAGGCAGCAGUGGGGAAUAUUGGACAAUGGGCGAAAGCCUGAUCCAGCCAUGCCGCGUGUGUGAAGAAGGUCUUCGGAUUGUAAAGCACUUUAAGUUGGGAGGAAGGGUAGUAACCUAAUACGUUGCUACUUUGACGUUACCGACAGAAUAAGCACCGGCUAACUUCGUG